GAUGAAGAACGUAGCGAAAUGCGAUAAGUAACGUGAAUUGCAGAAUUCAGUGAAUCAUCGAAUCUUUGAACGCAUCUUGCGCUCCUUGGUAUUCUGAGGAGCAUGCCUGUUUGAGUGUCAUUAAAUUCUCAACUACACUGACUUUGAAUUGGUGUGGCUUGGAUUUGGGGGGAAAAUUGUUGUGGGCUUUUUGUAUAGUCUGCUCCCCUGAAAUUGAUUAGCGGUACCUUUGUGGAACUGUCUACAGGUGUGAUAAUUAUCUACAUCUUAGACAUCUGCUGGAAUGCUGCUCUCUAAACCUUACUUGUAUUGACAAUCUUGACCUCAAAUCAGGUAGGACUACCCGCUGAACUUAAGCAUAUCAAUAAGCGGAGGA
rnacentral:misc_RNA from 1 species